CAGUAGCCGCGGUAAUACGUAGGUGGCAAGCGUUGUCCGGAAUUAUUGGGCGUAAAGGGCUCGCAGGCGGUUUCUUAAGUCUGAUGUGAAAGCCCCCGGCUCAACCGGGGAGGGUCAUUGGAAACUGGGAAACUUGAGUGCAGAAGAGGAGAGUGGAAUUCCACGUGUAGCGGUGAAAUGCGUAGAGAUGUGGAGGAACACCAGUGGCGAAGGCGACUCUCUGGUCUGUAACUGACGCUGAGGCUCGAAAGCGUGGGUAGCGAACAGGAUUAGAUACCCCUGUAGUCCCUGUCUCUUAUAA
rnacentral:rRNA from 1 species